UUAUUUGUAAACCUUUAUCAAAACAGAAGCAGCAUAUCCAGCAAUUUCUCAAUGCUGUAAUCGGUGGUACUGCAGCACGUGCCAUUCGGAGGUCAAAUUCUGUACAAGUAAGGAUUAAAUAAAUCAAUCGCCUACGAAACAGCCAGCAUAUGAAAGCUUUUUGCAAGUCGUCGUUCUCAAAAUGAAACUUUUGUCCUGCCAAGAACUUUCUACUGUAUUGAAAUAAGACAUGUUUCCAGAAUGAAAGUGGAAUGUUUUUCAAACGAAAUUUCAUUUUGUCACUACAUGAUGGUCUGAAUUUGAACGACAGCUGACGACAGAUGGCAAUACCUGCUAACACGUAGAAGUGAAUAUAACGACAUGACUAUCAUCUUGCACCUUUUAUCAAGCGUAUUCUGGAAUUCGUAGCUUAUAAAAUUGAAUAACUUGGGACCUAUACAAGUGCAUCUUACUGAAUGAAGACUUUUCGUCCACCACAAGGACAACUGUUUUCUUGGUUCUGCGUACCUCGGCAAUUUACACUAAGGAUGUUGAAUGUGCGUAAUUAUCUGUCAAUGACAUCAAAACAUCAGGAAUUCAAGGGCAUGGUGUCUUUUAAAAUGUUUAGACCGAAGUGAUUGCAACAAAACUGGACGAUUCUGAAGUUUCAUCAAGCGUAACCUUGGAACCCGAAGUCUUUACAAAUUAUGGACAAAGAUUCAAAAGGUGCUAUGAUAUCGUAAACUUGUGAUUUAUACCAAGUUUAAAAUGUAUCGAUUAAAAUGAUAAAAAUUGGAUUAUCAAAAUCUGCACAUUAGAAAUGAUAUUUAAUAUAAUCAACAUUUUUGGCUGCUAAUAUAUUUUUGAAAUGAUUGCUUCCAUUGUAACUCCAAAUGAUGGAUAACAUUAUUUAGAACUCUUCUGAAAAAUGCAGAAAUUCGUUUACAAAUGUUUGAUGUUCAACGAAGUAUCUUUCGUGCAUCGCAGUUAUGCAUUCAAAAUAAAUGUUUGGCUCAUCAAUUAAUUUUUUAUCGAGAAAUUGUUCAGAAUUUUUUAUUCGGUUAUCAAUUCUGCCUGUAAACUCUGAGUUAAAAAUUCAUUCGAUGUGCAUGUGAGUCUUCUUAUAUGUGAAAUGGUUUAAAGUCCUACGUAUUGGUUCCCAUUAAUCGAACAAAUCUAUAUUAUAUUAACAUUCUAUAUUUUACUAGUGCCGUAUACUUACUGCUGACUUAAUGAAUAUCUAUCUUUAUGUAUCCAAACGGCC